UAUGUGUUUAUAAUUUGUCCGAUAACUUGCAAUGCACACUAUAUAUAAAAUACAGCUUUUUUAUUAUUUUAAUUAUUUUUAAAAUAUAUAUAUAAUAGAUAUAAUAAAAUAAAUAAAUAAAAUUAAAUAUUAUUUUAAAAAAUCACAUUCCAUGCAUCGUAUAUGGUUAUAAGCUAAUAAAUUUUAUUACAAUAACAUAAAGCGGCC
rnacentral:lncRNA from 1 species